rnacentral:lncRNA from 1 species
ACACACAAAAAAAAAACAACUUUAUUGAGAGGAAGUGAUUUCCGUUCUGUUUAUUUCGUUGGAGUUCAGAUAGUAAUGUGUCCCUGGUGGUGUCAGACUUGGGUCCCAGCUCAAAAGGUUGAUACGUUCUGAAAUGUGGUCUUCUUCUCUUCCUCUUGUUCCCUAAUGAUCGUGACACAGUCUCUGUUCUGUGUGUGUUUCCGCUGAGCAAGGCCCUGGUCGAAUGUUGCACCCCGCUGAGCAAGGCCCUGGUCAAAUUGUCUGCCCCCGCUGAGAAAGGCCCUGGCCGAAUGUUUGCACCCCCGCUGAGCAAGCCGGGUCGAAUGUUGCACCCCGCUGAGCAAGGCCCUGGUCAAAUGUUUGCACACCCGCUGAGCAAGGCCCCUGGUCGAAUGUUUGCACACCGCUGAGCAAGGCCCUGGUCAAUGUCACGCUGACAAGGCCCGGUCGAUUUGCCCCGCGAGCAGGCCCUGGUCAAUCAGGAGGGUGGUACUUAAGUUCCUUGUGCUAAAACUGAAAUGGUUGCAUUCAAGUGUUGCAGUACUGUGGUUCUUUUUGUGAGGAUGUGUCCAAUUUGUCAUUUCUUUUAUUUUUUUAUUGUAACAUAACCUUUUUAUGUUUAACGAGUAUUAUCAGUGAUGUACUAGAUGGAUGUGAAAUGUUUUAGUCAAUAUUAGACAGUGACAGGUUUUUUCCUUAAAAAACAAAACUUUUUUUUUUUUUUUUCUUUCUGAUUUUUCACUUUGCCAACUCUAAAGAACGUAUUUGAGAGAAGGCAUUUGUGGUUUUAUUCCGUUUAAAGCUUUUAUGUUGU